rnacentral:rRNA from 1 species
AUGAACGCUAGCUACAGGCUUAACACAUGCAAGUCGAGGGGCAGCAUGAACUUAGCUUGCUAAGUUUGAUGGCGACCGGCGCACGGGUGAGUAACACGUAUCCAACCUGCCGAUGACUCGGGGAUAGCCUUUCGAAAGAAAGAUUAAUACCCGAUGGCAUAGUUCUUCCGCAUGGUAGAACUAUUAAAGAAUUUCGGUCAUCGAUGGGGAUGCGUUCCAUUAGGUUGUUGGCGGGGUAACGGCCCACCAAGCCUUCGAUGGAUAGGGGUUCUGAGAGGAAGGUCCCCCACAUUGGAACUGAGACACGGUCCAAACUCCUACGGGAGGCAGCAGUGAGGAAUAUUGGUCAAUGGACGAGAGUCUGAACCAGCCAAGUAGCGUGAAGGAUGACUGCCCUAUGGGUUGUAAACUUCUUUUAUACGGGAAUAAAGUGAGGCACGUGUGCCUUUUUGUAUGUACCGUAUGAAUAAGGAUCGGCUAACUCCGUGCCAGCAGCCGCGGUAAUACGGAGGAUCCGAGCGUUAUCCGGAUUUAUUGGGUUUAAAGGGAGCGUAGGCGGACGCUUAAGUCAGUUGUGAAAGUUUGCGGCUCAACCGUAAAAUUGCAGUUGAUACUGGGUGUCUUGAGUACAGUAGAGGCAGGCGGAAUUCGUGGUGUAGCGGUGAAAUGCUUAGAUAUCACGAAGAACUCCGAUUGCGAAGGCAGCCUGCUGGACUGUAACUGACGCUGAUGCUCGAAAGUGUGGGUAUCAAACAGGAUUAGAUACCCUGGUAGUCCACACAGUAAACGAUGAAUACUCGCUGUUUGCGAUAUACAGUAAGCGGCCAAGCGAAAGCGUUAAGUAUUCCACCUGGGGAGUACGCCGGCAACGGUGAAACUCAAAGGAAUUGACGGGGGCCCGCACAAGCGGAGGAACAUGUGGUUUAAUUCGAUGAUACGCGAGGAACCUUACCCGGGCUUGAAUUGCAACUGAAUGAUGUGGAGACAUGUCAGCCGCAAGGCAGUUGUGAAGGUGCUGCAUGGUUGUCGUCAGCUCGUGUCGUGAGAUGUUGGGUUAAGUCCCGCAACGAGCGCAACCCUUGUGAUAUGUUACUAACAUUGAGUUGAGGACUCAUAUCAGACUGCCGGUGAUAAACCGGAGGAAGGUGGGGAUGACGUCAAAUCAUCAUGCCCCUUAUGGCCUGGGCUACACACGUACUACAAUGGCGUCUACAAAGAGCGGCAAGCCUGUGAAGGCAAGCGAAUCUCAUAAAGGACGUCUCAGUUCGGAUUGAAGUCUGCAACCCGACUUCAUGAAGCCGGAAUCGCUAGUAAUCGCGGAUCAGCAUGCCGCGGUGAAUACGUUCCCGGGCCUUGUACACACCGCCCGUCAAACCAUGAGAGUUGGCAAUACCCGAAGCCGGUGGCCUAACCUCGCAAGAGGAGGGAGCCGUCGAAGGUAGGGCUGAUGAUUGGGGUU